rnacentral:tRNA from 1 species
CACUGAGAAGCUAAAUAGGGUUUCGAGCGUUAGCCUUUUAAGCUAAAAACUGGUGCUUCCCAACCACCCUCAGUGA